rnacentral:rRNA from 1 species
GACGAGCGCUGGCGGCGUGCCUAAUACAUGCAAGUCGAGCGCAGGAAACUGACGGAACUCUUCGGAGGGAAGGCAGCGGAAUGAGCGGCGGACGGGUGAGUAACACGUAAGGAACCUGCCUCAAGGAUUGGGAUAACUCCGAGAAAUCGGAGCUAAUACCGGAUAGUUCAACGGACCGCAUGGUCCGCUGAUGAAAGGCGCUCCGGCGUCACCUUGAGAUGGCCUUGCGGUGCAUUAGCUAGUUGGUGGGGUAACGGCCCACCAAGGCGACGAUGCAGAGCCGACCUGAGAGGGUGAUCGGCCACACUGGGACUGAGACACGGCCCAGACUCCUACGGGAGGCAGCAGUAGGGAAUCUUCCACAAUGGACGAAAGUCUGAUGGAGCAACGCCGCGUGAGUGAUGAAGGUUUUCGGAUCGUAAAACUCUGUUGUAAGGGAAGAACACGUACGAGAGGAAAUGCUCGUACCUUGACGGUACCUUACGAGAAAGCCACGGCUAACUACGUGCCAGCAGCCGCAGUAA